rnacentral:rRNA from 1 species
GGUCAAAUCAUCAUGCCCUUUAUGUCUUGGGCAACACACGUGCUACAAUGGCUGUAACAAAGUGACGCAAACCGGCGACGGUAAGCCAACCACAAAAAAACAGUCUCAGUUCGGAUUGAAGUCUGCAACUCGACUUCAUGAAGCUGGAAUCGCUAGUAAUCGCGGAUCAGAAUGCCGCGGUGAAUACGUUCCCGGGCCUU